GAACGUUGAGCGGUGUAUUUUCUGUAUAAAUAGGAGAGAGCUCAUGAGGAAACAGAUACUUACACCACAUGUGCUCACACAUGGACCUCACUCCCUGUCCCUCGGAAUGUGUCACAACCCAAGGAAUCAACACAAGAGACUUGUGUCCAGGGCAGGUGCCACCAGGGCAUCACUAUGACUGGGAAAGAGCUGCCUGCUCCACAUCCCAGACUACCCCCUUUCCAAAAGGAACCCAGGAUCUGGCUGCUCUCCAACCAAUGCCCGCAAGGAAGACCCACCUUCUUCUUCUUCACCCCGAUUGUUUGUCACUGGAGUGGGGCGCUCCAAAGCCAUGCCAUUAUUAUUAGUUGCGUCAUCGGCCGGCAUCUAGUGCAAGAAAACAGUGUGAGAAUCUAAGCUUCCUGGUCUCUAUGGACAUGAGAAUUUUCAUGGUCUUUCUGCCCAGCAAAACCCAAAAGGGAAACACUCCUCGAGUCCACGGUCCCAAAGAAAACACAGAGGUCAUCCUGGACAAAGGCUUCAAAUCUUCCUGUAGGAAUUCUUAUGUGUACUUUGACCAAAACCCACCAAAUUCUCUUGCAAGGAGGGCAAUUCUCUGCUGGUAACAUUGCUCUCAGCCGCACUUCCAGUUUCUAGAGGCUGCUGUCAAUUUUUCAAUCAGUCAUGCAUUGGGAGAGACAUUCCGUCAACACUCGUCCAACCCAGGAAAAAUGUAGGUCUCCACUGAUUUGAACAGUGUAGACUUGCAUACUGUAGUUCUGAUUAGACCCCUAGCCUGGGAAACUCCAUGUGCAGCAGGUGCAGCCAUUAAAAACCAAAACCAAAACCAAAACCAGAGAGAGAGAGGGAGACAGAGAGAGACAGAGAGAGACAGAGAGAGACAGAGAGAGAGAGAGAGGAUAAAAGAAAAAUUGAGGAAAUGAAGUUAUGCUUUUAUCUCAGAUAAGACAAGGCACUUACUGUGCAGCCACUUGGAGCCUCUAUUCCUCCUGCGGUGCUGGGCAGCCUUUCAUGGGAGCCCGGGGUUUCUUCUAGGAGGACACAGAUGGAAGGGUCAUGAUAUUGGUGACGCUGCUCAGGAACUAUUCAGGCAGCAUUGUUGGGGAGUGGUGUGUGAACCCAGGGAGGGAGAGUAAGGAUGAGGGUGAUUUUGAAGCAUGGGCACACAUGCUGUUGGCUGACCACUCUGGUGGGAUGAGGCUGGCCAAGGGGAGGUUCCUUGACAUAAUGAGAAGGGGAGCUUUAAGCUUCCUAGCCAAAGCCAACAUACUCAAUUCAAUGUAGGCAAUUUGAAAAGAGGUAAAUUCCAAAUUCAUGUUCUGGGGAACCUCCCGCUGUGGCUCCGUGCGUUAAGGACCCGAAGCUGUCUCUGUGAGGAGGCAGGGUCGCUCCCUAGCUUCCCUCAGGGGCCUAAGGAUCCAGGGUUGCUGCAUGCUGCGGCGUAGUGUGCACAUGUGGCCUGGAUCCGGUGGUGCCAUGGCUGGGGUACAGCUCUGGGUGAACCCCUCCCCUGGGAACUUCCAUAUGCCACAGGUGUGGCCACACACACAUAACAAAACAAAAACAAGUCAUGCCAUGUUUCAAGGACAGAGUCCAAUGACUCCUCCAGCCUAUUUUAAAUCCCGUGGCGACUCCCGCUACUUCUUGGAAUGUUCCAAGACCAUUUUUCAUCUCCACACGGUCACAUGCCCUGCUUCUGCUCAGCACAGUGUGAUGGCACAGGUAUAAUAUUUAUCCUUUGCAUAACUGUUAACUAUACAGUUCCGUAGCCUUUUUGACUUCCACACGCUUUUCUACCCAUCAACACUACCUACACCCACACCUUUGUCAUCCUACCCGACAUGACCCAUCACAACUCACCUUCCCCUGGCCACCAGGCCUUGGUAAUUCCUGCUUCUGCUAUAUGAACGUGCCUACACAAGUAGUAUUACACGGUAUCUGUCUUGCUGUGCACCUGCCUUAUUUCACUCACCACAAUAGCUUUUUGUAGUGUUCGGUCCACCCAUACCCUAACGUAUUUCGAGCUUUAACUCCACUCUGCGGCUAAAGAGUAGCUCACUCGGAGUUUCUUUGGCAUUUCAUUUUGCCAGUCCUCUCAUUCAUCACCACAUUCAUCAAGGCCUUUUGCAUAAUGCCCAUCUUGGGACUCCUGGGAGAAACAGGCCAGGGAGCAUUCGGGUACGGAUUUCUCUGUGCUAUAAUGGUGAGAAAUCACAUUGCACAUCUGUCAAAGGGCAGAGCUUAUAAGAGCACCAAGUAUGACUCCUAAGGCAAACUAUUAGUGUUCUGCUAAUUGGAAUAAAGGUACCACCAGCAUGUGAUACACUGUCAAUGGCUGGACCUGGAGCGGUGGGAUUCGGGAACCGUCUGUGUCAUCUGUUGGACUUCUUUGUCCACAUAAUCCAGGUCGAAACAAUGUCUAAUAAUUUAAAGACACCUGGAAACACGGCUUCCCUGAGGGAGACACAGCAGCUAAUGUCCAAAAGCCAGCCGUCAUCGACACCCUGGCUAGAGAUCAUCUUCACCCUCCAACAUCAACCGGCUGUUGAGAUUUCAAAGUCGUUUUAUUUCCACAGGUAUAUAAACACUACCACCUGACUAAGUAUGUUUCAACUUGGACACACACGCACGCACGCACGCACGCACAAAGGAUACCACAAAAUACUUCCGAGUUCAUUCGUAUACAGGGGACCCUAAAGAAAAAUUAUUCUUGCAUGCACCGAAGGAGAAAAUCUCCACGUACCUGUCCCCGACCCAUUAGCGGGGUGCACUCGCUGGUGGCGCCAGGAGCAUAACUUUCUGAUGCAGCCAGAGGUGGAUCUUUGUGACGUCUGUCGAUUGUUCCUUUGGAUCCGGAAGCAGCAUCCUAUGCAAUCUAUCACAACAGGGAGGACUGCUGACAUCUUGCUGUCAGAAGACCGUAGGGAAAUUUGUACUCAUUUAUUCCAUUUAAUCUUUUGGUCCCCUGGCUCACCAGCUGCCCAGGAGUGCUGCCUGGAUCAAGGUCAGACUUAGAAGGAUCAUGCAGUUUAAAACAACCAACAGACAGGAUUUUUGAACAACCACCUUUGUUUAACUGAGACCUUCUAGAAACACAGCAAAGUAAGAGUGAUCGUGCCUGAUGGUCUGGUUCAAACACAUUCAGAAGAAUCAUGAACCUGGGGAAAGGGUUGUAGAUCCCUAAGGGCCUCGAUGCCCUGUUCUACGAGGUGGAAAUGGUAUUCUAGAAGGCUGACUUUUAGUAUGAUGUUAUGAGGACGACUUCAUGAAGUACGGGUAACAUUUUAGAAAAAGGAAGGACGGGUGCCUCGUCAAUGCUCCGUAUGCGUUCAGCCUUGAGUGAUGGCAAGAGUAAGCUAGACAGUCAGUGGUGGCUGAAAACCAAAGGGGGUAAAUGGAUGCCUCAAGUCGGGAAGGGUGGAAGCUUAUUCCCCAGCAUCUUCAUGGGAACGAUGCUUCGCAGCUCAUGGACAGUACCUAUUUUCAUCUCCUCUGAUACUCAGUCCUGUUGAAGGUGAGGAAGUGCAAACAGGACCCACAUGAGGGGUAACCAAGUGACAGUCCAAGCGUCACAACAAUGACGGGUGAUGAAUCUGAGGCAGGUGGACCAGACAUAUUAAUUAAGACAACGAACCCGGAAGUUAUACGCAUAACUCUAGAGAUAGCUCAGAGGGGUAGAAAUGAGAAGAAAAACACAAGAAGGAAAAAUGCAGGAGACAAAGUGAGCGAGCCCAUCUGAAGGAACAGCCACUCGGGGGAGCAAUGUAAACUUACCUUAGGAACAGUGAUUGAGAUUGCCCAUUCCUAAAGCAUGAGCCGUGAAGUGAGAGCGUCACACUGGCCACCACGUACAAACCUCUCAGGCCACAGAGCGACAGCCUGACCAUGAGGCAAGAAGUGCACAAGCACAUUACCGUGGUGACGUGUCAUCGUACCACUUUCAGAGGGAAGUCAACCCCUGCACAGGAUGGGUCCAACGGCUGCCGGCAGAGAGCGUGUUUCCAUGGACAAGCUUGGCUUUUCAGAGGAGCCUUGUCAUUUCCGAAACGGAAUCUCAGGCUCCCACAGAACCCUCUGACUAAGAAAAUAAUUUUCUAUGAGAGAGAACGACCUGUCCCCCAGGAGGAGUUGAGAGUGAACCUUGCAGGGUGAAGAGGCCAAAAAGCCAGCAUGUGCAGAAUUUAAGGAAGAACUACCCCUCCAUUUCUACUCUUCCUGAGUCACUAGACAUUUGCCAAUCAAACCAUUUCAAAACGUGAGAUUUAAGGUUAUUGUAACCAGGGUGAAUGUUUUCAUGUUUCAUGACGACUGCUAUUCUGCAGUGUCCUAUUCAAGUUUGCUGCUCACAAAAAUUACUAUUUUUGAUGCACAUUGCAAGUAAGUCUCCAAUUUGUCACAUGCUUGUAUCUUACUACAGUUACUCGUACAUACAACCUGAGGAAAGUUUUCUUCUUUUGCCAAAAAGAAAAAAAAAAAAA
rnacentral:lncRNA from 9 species